UACGAACCGUACAAACGUUAUUCGGAAUCACUGGGCUUAAAGGGCGCGUAGGCGGCCAUGUAAGUGAGGUGUGAAAUCCCUCGGCUCAACCGAGGAACUGCGCUUCAUACUGCAUGGCUUGAGGGAGACAGGGGUAAGCGGAACUGAUGGUGGAGCGGUGAAAUGCGUUGAUAUCAUCAGGAACACCGGUGGCGAAAGCGACUUACUGGGUCUCUUCUGACGCUGAGGUACGAAAGCUAGGGUAGCGAACGGG
rnacentral:rRNA from 1 species